rnacentral:rRNA from 1 species
UACGUAGGGAGCUAGCGUUGUUCGGAUUUACUGGGCGUAAAGAGCGCGCAGGCGGUCGUUCAAGUCGCGUGUGAAAGCCCCCGGCUCAACUGGGGAGGGUCACGCGAUACUGAUCGACUCGAAGGCAGGAGAGGGUAGUGGAAUUCCCGGUGUAGUGGUGAAAUGCGUAGAUAUCGGGAGGAACACCAGUGGCGAAGGCGACUACCUGGCCUGUUCUUGACGCUGAGGCGCGAAAGCUAGGGGAGCAAACGGGG